AUACUUACUUGGUGGAGGAGACACCAUGAUCACAAAGGUGGCUUUCCCAGGGCAAGGUGUCUCCAUUGGAUUUAGCAUGUAUUGACCCUUGCAAUUUCCCUAAAUUUAGGAAAUUUGACUACAUAACUUGUGGUAGUUGUCCUGCAU
rnacentral:snRNA from 1 species